CCUUACGGGGCGCAGCAGGCGGGAAAACUUUACAAUGCUGGAAACAGCGAUAAGGGGACCUCGAGUGUCAGGUUACAAAUUUGGCUGUCGUGAUGCCUAAAAAGCAUUGCAUAGCAAGGGCCGGGCAAGACCGGUGCCAGCCGCCGCGGUAACACCGGCGGCUCGAGUGGUAACCGUUAUUAUUGGGUCUAAAGGGUCUGUAGCCGGCCGGAUAAGUCUCUUAGGAAAUCUGGCAGCUUAACUGUCAGGCUUUCAGGAGAUACUGUCUGGCUAGAGGCCGGGAGAGGUGAGAGGUACUUCAGGGGUAGGGGUGAAAUCCUGUAAUCC
rnacentral:rRNA from 1 species